rnacentral:lncRNA from 1 species
GGAUGCUUGCAACAAGCAACCAGCAAAUCGCUGCUUGCUAUGCCGGAAAAAGAUUGGGUUGACUGGGUUUAAAUGCCGGUGUGGAGGCACGUUUUGCUCAGCUCACCGGUACUCUGAGACCCAUGAAUGUUCGUUUGACUACAAGAGCGCUGGUCGACAGUAUAUAGCCAAAGAAAAUCCCGUCGUGAAGGCAGAAAAGAUACGGAAAAUUUAAGUUGAUGUCUGAAAUUGAAAUUAUUAGGAUCAAAUGGAGGUCACUCCUAGUUUCUGAGGCAUAAGUUUGGUGUUAGUUCUCUGUUGUUCCCCUAGUCAAUGUCCUUUCCAGCGAAGCACUAGAAGUGAAGUCCUUUUCUUAUUUUUUUAUUGUAAUUAGUAGUGUCAAUGAAAUGCCUUGUAACCAUUCAUGUUUUGCUUAUUAAGUGCUAAAUGCCAUUUCUUUCUAAUAUGAGCUUUUCCCAAAGAGAUUUUAUUUGUGCCUGAUCCAUACUGGAUGCUUGUAAAUGACAUGAGUUGUUGAGGGAUGGCAAAGUGCUUCAUCUGAGUCUGAGAAGGUUCAUAUCACGAUCUUAAUUUACCAUACCUAUGAUUAAAAGUCAAGCCUGUAUGUUGAGUUUAGCAUUUGAAUGUGAUAAUUACUCUCUUUUAUAUCAGAAGCAGCCUGCUACAGGAACUGUUUAAUGUAUAUGUGAGCUUAUCAGUGAUUGGGGUAAUAGCUUAUCUUCCACAAGAAUGAACGUAUGCAUUACUGAUUCAGCUACUUUUUCAGUGAAAUACUUCUAUCAAGACGUAACAAGAUUAGCUUUUCAAUGACUGAUUGGUUUGGAAUUUGUGUAGCAUUACAUUGCACUUCUUACCAUCACAAAGUUCUGUAAUUUUCUAGAUGGACCAUGUUUUUGAUGCAUUUUAUUAAUCGAUUUGGAUUUAAGGCUGUUUGUAACCAAACAUCAUCCCAAAACUGAUACGCGGAAGCACCGUGAUUAAUGUUAACUGACAAUUCAACUGUUGCUUUUCAAGAUAUAAUCAGGCUUCUAGGUUCCAAUUUAAAGAGUUGUGAGUGGAUGCAGGAGUCCAGCUGGUGAGAAUGUAAAAUGUCUUUUUUUUCUUUCUUAAUGUUUAGUCUUUAUACUUAUUUUAUACCUAAAUGUACUCAUUAUUUUUAUAUUUUGAUUUAGGAUGCAAAUGGAGGCGUUAAGUGCAAAACGAAGCUAAUUGGAUGAUUUUGGACAGUCUCCACAUUGCUUUGUAAUCUGGGCAUAACUUUCUCAUCCGAGCUCUGAUUGAGAUGAUUCAAGAUGCUAUGGAAUGCUAAGAAAAAGCUCUACAACUUUCAUAUUUUGAGUUUUGAAAGAUACUAGCUCUAUCAAGGUCGAAAUCGGGCUUGAAGUUGCUGCAUGUGCACCGCUGACGUGCUGGAAAGUUCUUAGCCUGCAAUUACGGAUUUGACUCGGUCUAUUUUCGGAGGUCUCCAGAUCUGGUGCACAAAAAUCCCAGCUGAAAACACCACUUUUCCCAGUUAUAUUAGAACUUUAUUUUAUUUUUCUUAAUUAGUCAGGUUUGAAUUCAAAAUGUACGUGAAAAGGAAAAAAGAUAAGGACGCCUCUUCCAGGGGGUUUCUUCCACGACUCCUCUUUUCUCUUUUCUCCGGGAAAGCUUUCAUCCAUGGCCCUGCGUGGCUAAACUUUGAUUGGUCUAAGAAAACAGAAACCUCGGAAUCAAUGAAACUAUGAGAUCUAAUUUGUUUUCA